rnacentral:rRNA from 1 species
UACGUAGGGUGCAAGCGUUAAUCGGAAUUACUGGGCGUAAAGCGUGCGCAGGCGGUUAUGCAAGGCAGAUGUGAAAUCCCCGGGCUCAACCUGGGAACUGCAUUUGUGACUGCAUAGCUAGAGUACGGUAGAGGGGGAUGGAAUUCCGCGUGUAGCAGUGAAAUGCGUAGAUAUGCGGAGGAACACCGAUGGCGAAGGCAAUCCCCUGGACCUGUACUGACGCUCAUGCACGAAAGCGUGGGGAGCAAACAGG